GCAGCGCUACUUCAACUUAAUCUGAGUGCAGUUCGCUCUUUUUUUCCCUUCGGUUUGUGUACUUUUGUUAGCCGUUGUUUGUGCGUCGACUUAUCUGGACCAAAAUCCACUCGAGUUUUAUGUGUUUUGGGCAUAAAGUUAGUGUGACGGCGUCCGGAGAAUGGGACCCGGACGUCGUCCUCGGUUGCCUUUACACACACUGUCAGCAAACACCAGGAGAACGCUCUUGUUGGUCGUGUCCUCACCCAGUGGAAACGCCUCAGGUUGGAACCCGGGUUGAGUGUGUGGGAGUCAGGACAAGGCGUCAAAGGUACACAGCGACGAUCCGUCUUCACCCUGCGAUGUUUAUGUUGUCCUGGUCCUGUGCCAAAGACGUGAUGGACACACACCCAUCUGUUAGCAGACAAUCAGACGCUGUGUUGCACACCAUAGGGCGGCUGAGGCCAAAGACCUGUCGUCCAGGCGCGGUUCAAACAUCUAGGAGGAACCACCUUCUCUAGCCUCAGAUUCACCAUAAACAACAACAACAACAACAACAACAACCACCACUUCUUCUUUAUUAAGUGUUGUUGAAGUCUAACCAAUAAUUAUACUAUCUACAUAAUCCAACUGCUGCGGUUUAUUCUGAGUUGUUGUGGAGGGAAAAGGAUAAACAUGCACCUUGGUCGGUUGGGUUUACGUAGUAUGUGUGUUGCUUUAACUGUCCUGUGGUAAAUGGUAAAUCAAUCACUUAUUAGUUUCUCCUUAUUAUUUAACCUCUUAUUUUGGAUCCUCCAUCAGCUUCUAUUUGAAUUUUGAGAGCCUUAAAAAUGCUGUUUAUGGUUUACGGUCACAAACCGCCAACCGUUUUUCAACUUUGGGUGAAUGAUGACAUCAUAACCUGUCAUUUUCUUGCAUGUUGGAGUUUGUACACAGCGUGCAAGCUUUACCUGUUAAUAUGCUAGCUCCUGUGGCAGCGUUACAGCGCCACAUACAGGUCGUUUAGGGAGGUUUCGCGUGUAUGAAAACGCAGACAUUUUAAAGAACGUUAAAAGUAAAAGAUCUUGUGAGAUCUUUUUAAUCUAAAAAAGGCCAUUUUUUAAAUAAGAACGCAAUUGUAUGGCUGUAACCCAAGUUGUUUAAAUAAAAAUCCGUCAUUAAAAAAGUCACUUAAUUUCCUCUUGAUGAAGAACGACAAUGAACUUCUAGACACCUGUGCCUCUUAAUUAUAGUGAAGUCCCUCGUCUGGGGCUCUCCGUCUCCGUCUCCGUCUCCUGGCCCGGUGAAGUGACCCUCGAUCACCUCGGGUUCUCAGAAUCUGGCAGAAUGUCAAAACUAUUCACUCGACCCUCUGGAAAGCACGUCUGCUUACCGUUAAGCCGUUUAGCUCCUAAUACCAACAACAAACACUCCUUCUGUGCCGGCGCCCGGGCACGGAGCACAGUGAGCCGUCUAUGAGAGAGGUCAGGACAACUCUUUAAGCGGACUCUGCCCAUCUGGCCCCGCUGGUCGGCUUCCUCAGCAGGAGACUAAGUGGGACACGGGGACACAGAUGCCCGACUGACACCGGACCACUCGCGGAGCCUCAGCUUCAGCAGUGAAGCACGUCCAGUGCGUCAGGACUACGCCUUUUUUCCGCGGUUGGUAAGAACCCGUGGAACCCGUGGCAGGAACAGGAUCGCCGCGGAGGACGUGACAAGCCGACCGCCCACAGCCUCGCGUGACAUCACCUUCAGAUUAAAAACAACGGCCACUGCACCUGAGGCUAAACAGACAAACUUAAUGUGUCACCUCCUCUGAGCUGAGGCCUGAUUCACGCCGCUCACGCACACGCACACGUCUCUACUUUUGAGUUUCAGCGUCUUACGUAAUGUUCAUGCGUCACACGUGCAGUUCCCAGCAAACAAAGAAAGAUGAUGUUGAAACGACACCAGGAUGAUUACAAACACUGCACACUGAGAUUAUAAUCAACAUAUAAUGUGAGAAAAGUUGAUGGUGUUUGCAUUUGAAAGUUAUGACAAUUUACAAAAGUGUUUCUUUUGUAAUAAUGUGUAAAAUGCACUCAUCUGUUUUCCUGCACAUUGUAUUUAUCUGUAAAUGUUUUAUUGAGUGACAAUAAAUAACACUAAAUAUCA